UCAAUCCCCCAUCGUUCUCGGUCACACCUGGCUUCAGAAACACAACCCCAGCAUCAAUUGGCGCCUUGGAUCUGUGGUUAGCUGGAGCGAGGAAUGUCAUUUGUCUUGUCUUUUGUCUGCUGGUGUUAAUGUUUCUGAGUCUGUGUUUCAGGGGGAAGCAGUGGAUUUGGCUAGCGUGCCCGCGGAGUACCACGACCUGAAGGAGGUGUUCAAUCCUCUCUUAUGUCUCCAUGCACUAGCUGGAUUACCGUCCUCCGUGUUUGUGUGCUGGUUUGGAUUCGUGUUGUCGUCCGCGUGUCAGUGUUCCGGUCUGUUCCUGGUUCCAACCAUUGACCACCUUCACCUGCACCGCUGACUUCACCAUCCCGCUCUUCUCACGCCACCGUAGACCUUCCUUGCCAUUGCCAACACUCUGGACACUCUUUAUCAAUAAACAACAUCUGAUUGCCUGCAA